rnacentral:rRNA from 1 species
CCUACGGGUGGCAGCAGUGAGGAAUAUUGGUCAAUGGACGAGAGUCUGAACCAGCCAAGUAGCGUGAAGGAUGACUGCCCUAUGGGUUGUAAACUUCUUUUAUAAAGGAAUAAAACGAGGCACGUGUGCCUUUUUGCAUGUACUUUAUGAAUAAGGAUCGGCUAACUCCGUGCCAGCAGCCGCGGUAAUACGGAGGAUCCGAGCGUUAUCCGGAUUUAUUGGGUUUAAAGGGAGCGUAGAUGGGUUGUUAAGUCAGUUGUGAAAGUUUGCGGCUCAACCGUAAAAUUGCAAUUGAUACUGGCAGUCGUGAGUACAGAUGAGGUAGGCGGAAUGCGUGGUGUAGCGGUGAAAUGCUUAGAUAUCACGAAGAACCCCGAUUGCGAAGGCAGCUUACUAAACUGUGACUGACAUUGAUGCUCGAAAGUGUGGGUAUCAAACAGGAUUAGAUACCCUAGUAGUC